CCACCAUUGCGGACGCGUAGCACUCCUGGCUCCUUCACAGCUACCUUUUUCCGCCGUUUUUUUUUUGUUCCCUUUAAGAGCGGAGUUUUACAUUCAUCGUAGACGCCUUUUCCCUCACUGUGGGGGGCCUUCGUCCUGCGGGUGAGCCGGAUCUGAGUUUCCUCCCCCUCUCCCUCUCUCCUUCCGCGACACGCGCAAACGGAAAGACUCUCGUUGCUCUCUGCUUUAUUCUUUCUUUUCCUUCUGCCCAUCGGCGUCCUCCGUUCCCCGUGUACAUUUUUUCCCCUGUACGCGUGCGCGCUCUCUCUUUCCCUUCCCCCUCUCCUCUUGUACAUCAUCGUUGCUUUAUUGUAUGUGCGUUCGUCCGGCUACUCUCACUCUCCGUUUUUCUGUUGUAUGUCUUCCCCAUUUCUGUUUUCUUUGGUAGCUGGUUACUCGACCCUUGUGUGUGCGUUGUGUGUCUUCUGUGAGCUUGCCGGUGCGUGUGGUCCUGCUUAUUAUUGUUGUCGCCCCCCUCCUUUGCUCAGUAGCUCUUCAGGACGUCGUCUGUGGCCACACCGUCUCGCUCUCUCUCCUCUCGCCAUUCCGACGUGCCUACACGUCUGCGUAGGUGUGCACCUCUGGGCACACUCACUCCCGUGCACCGUUGCUCUCACUCUCCCCAUCUCUUUUUCCUACAUACACAGACGCACGUGUACAUGAACGCCCGUGCAGUCGCCUGUCACAGGGCACCCUGCAAGGAGUACGGUAGUGCAUCUUUUACUUUCUUUCCGUCUUGCCCCUCGGUGUGUGCAGCUGUGCCAACAUCGCUGCCUUUCCGUUGACACUCUUAACUCCCCACAACUCUGCCGCUCGAUUGUGAGGGCGUCUACGACGGGACACUCCUUACCUCCCUCGCUGUCGCUUCUUUCGUCGUUGUGCCUACAUCUCCUCUCGCUUUCCGCCUUUUUGGAGGUCGCUUUACCUCCCGCCGCCCGAGCACUCUCUUGUGCUCCCCCUUUCAACUGCCAUCUCGUAUCUCGAGCGCGCUCACGCCUCUGCCUUUCUCUCUUUCUCUCGGACUCCGCGGAUCGUGCACAUCAACCCAAAUAACAGAGAGGAAGGACACAUCCACACCACCACCAAACAGCAGUCGCUCCGUGCGUGGAGGAAGAGAGGGGGCGUGUGUGAACGAAAUACGUUAGCGAGGAUGGAUCGCGUGUACAUCAAGUGCUGCAGCACCUUCUCCCUCGCUGCAACCAACUGGAAUGAAGCGUAUCAGUUGGCGCUGGAGAUGGGUGACAGCACGAUGCAGCUGGCGACAGCACGGCAGGACAAGCUGCGUCGAGUGGAGAAGGCCUUCGAAGAGGAGGUUGUGCAGGGCGCUGUGCGUAUCGUAACGAUGGACCCCAACGCACCGCGAUCGGUGCCCAAGGAGCUACUAUGCUACCGCGACAAGAAUGUCUUUUACCGCAUUCUUCCAGAUGGUCGCUCUGGCCGCAGCAUCGUGGCCGCCUUGCGUGGCGUGUUGCAGAGCCGCAGCGCUCUGCUGACGGUGCCGCUCACGUCGGCCAUUAUUUAUCGCGGCACCCCGGUGCUCGCCCAGGCGCUCGCGCCUUUGGGCGCGGAGCCGAUGAAAAUUUACGGCGAUGGCGCAGAACCCAACCUGGAGGUGGCGGCUGAGGUGGAGAUCAUGGCAGAUGCGCUGAGGACGCCGCUUCCAGACGAAAUCUUAUGUGAGGUGUACCGCGGUCUCGACGGGCGCAUGUACGUUACGAACACAAACGUCACGACAAUCGCCUUGGACGACUCCAUGCUCAUCGGAGGCCCACUGAAACGACCUGAGAUGCUCGCGCUGUGCCCGUGUGUCACCGCCACGUGCGAGGAUACGCUGAACGUUCUACGCAACCCAGUUGUGAUGGAGGCUCUUCGGCGUGUGCUGAACACCGCCGCGGACCAGCAGUGCCGCCACCUCAGCGAAACGCUGCACUUCUACGGGGUCAAUUUGUGCUUGCUGAGGGGCGUGGUGGACGCCUUCGCGGAGCGGUACGGCGACGCCGCAUAUGAUGUGCAGCACUUCACCGAAGUCGUUGCGCUUGAGAUGAUGGCGCGCACGAUCAAGCAGGAAUUCUACACGGAAGUGCAGGCGAAGCGGCUUGGCAUUGACGUGGUCGGCAUCAACAAGUGCUACGCGCUGAACCUCCGUGCGGCGCUACACUCGGAGCGGGAAGAUAGAUUUAUUCAAUUAGUGCUUCUCAAAUACGCCAUCCACAACGAAGGCGGGAGAGCAGACGGUUUCAUAGAGACUCUGCUGACAGUGCGUCGCGAUCAUCGCAGCGCGCUCGUGAAGCGCGUUUCCUGGCUGAUAGGAGUCCGCUCCGCUCCCGCGGCUGAAGGGGCUGAGAAUGAGCGAACGGUGGUGUGGGCCCCUCUCAUAGCCGGACGCAUCACGCCGCACCUGUGCGAUCCAACGCUCAUGUGCUCCCUCGAGCCCCUGUAUCGCAGCCUGCCGUCGUGCGAGGCGCACUACUUCGCCCACUGCUAUCCGCUUCAGGUUAAAGUAGCCCUGUGGCAGGACCGCGUCGGCGACGGGCUUAACCUCGCCCGCACCGCAGCGGAGCAGGCCAGAGCGCGUUACGGAGACGUCUCACUCCGCGCCGUGCAGGCGCAGCGCACCUUCAUGAGGCUUCUCUUCACAGUGCCGUCUCUGGAAAAUGUGCGGGAGGCGUAUGGCAUGGUGACUUCCAUCCUUGAGGUGCUCGAGAACUGCGCAGGGCCCAUCACAAGAGCCAAGUGCCACAUCGAAGUCGGUUGCUGCCUCCUGUCCGCCUCCGCCGUAAUGGACGUCGUCGGCGAGGCGGCUCGACACUUUCGGGCAGCGGGGCAGCUGCUGCCAGCCUCGCUCCGAAGUUCCAGCGGAGCCUGGCUCUACCUACAGCCGAGCCUCGGCCUUGUGCGGUGCCGCCAGCUGGACCAGAAGAGUGGGCUGGUGCCUCUCAAGGCGCUUGUAACUGACGCCAUGUACUUCUCUCGCGUUGUUACGCCAGCCGACUACUGCACGGAGUACUUGUGGGAGCUAGGGAUGGAGCUGGCGGCGGCGCGGCACUAUGCGGAGUCUACACACAUUUUGACGGCGGCGUAUCGCAUGGCAAAGCGCACACAGCGCACGCAGCUGGAUGUUGACAGGCUUCGCAGCGACGCUAUAAGCGCUUACAGCGUGUGCGAUCCUGAAAAGUACGCCGCCUACUGCAACGCAAUCUCUGAGAGAGCGCGCGUCGCCUAGGGUAGAUGAGCGCAGGAGACGGGAAGGUCUGAAGCGUGCCAUUGCUGCACCUCACCAUUCCUCGUUGCUUGACGAUUCCGCAGAUCAACACGCUUCGCCUUUCCUCUCUUUCGCUCUGAUGUCUCUGUCUAUGCGGUGCUCCGCCUGUGUCUGUGCCUGUGGCGUUGGUUGUGGAACAGCUUCUCCCCCACUCUCUCUUUGCCAGUGCACCGUGCAAUGGACGCCCUCCCUCCCUUGUUGCGGCCGUCACUGCUUAUGGUUCUCUUUGUGCGCCGGUGAGUGUUGCCGGAUGGGGUGGAUGCCAAGACUUCGUUCUUCGCCUUUUUUUUCGUUCUGCGUUCAGUGCGUGAGGGAGGGCUGUCGGGGCUCUUGCAUCCCCUCGUCGGCUCCGCCACAUACCGGAAGGGGAGGGAGGCGCCUGCUGAAAGAAAAAGGCAGAGCAGCGGCAAUAAGGAAGCCAGGCGGCGACCUGGAGUGUGAGAGUGCGAGAACAACCUGCACGCGAGUGUGCCAAUGCGCGACAACUUCGAGGUAUGAUAGAGGUGUUGGGAGGUGGCAGUCGUCAACUCCCUUUUUCUGUUUUUUUUUUUUUAGUCUCUCUGCCUGUUCACAGCGGGCGCAGCGGUGCUGAUUCUUCGAGAAGGCACCACCGUAUAUAUUCGUGCUCGGCCCUUCCGAUUGGAUCACGUAUUGUUUUCACAUGGAAAAGCGGAGAAGCCCUACUCGCAUGUCGUCUCUCAUUUUGCUUUUUUUGUCUUUUUUCAAGAUGCCCGUUUUGCUGCCGUGCAACACGGGCUCAAACGCCGCCCCAGCCGGAAUGCCGCAGGCCCCCAUCGCCUGGUGCGGUGCAGCGGGAGACACGCGUUAGAAUGCUGCCGGCCCAGUCAUCUGAGAGCGCGGCCCCUGCACCAAACUCUACCCAGCUCCGCUUCGCACGUCGCCUCACAGCCGCUCACAUCAUGCCGGUCCCCACCCCAGGUGCAUGCAGCUCGGGGUGGCUCUCAGGCUCCGCACCACCGGCAAAGGCAGUGUGAGGGCCGGGGGAGCCGCGUCCGAGCCACGCUGACACCCCGCCCUCCGCGUGGACGGCACUAGUGUGUCUACUGCCGCAGGUCUCUCCGACGCAACGCCAUCCACGAUCUGGCACGGCCGACAUCAGUAGCGAUAGGUCGCCCUGGCCUCCCUGUGGUGUAGGCACUCGGCCCUGUCACCGCCAGGGGUGGCUCGGCAUUUCGCGGGGGCUGCAUGGCUGCCGGGCUUCCCACCACGGAGGGUGCACCGGGCCCUGAUAGCAUGCUGAGGUGCCCCGUAGUCAUUGGGGCGUAUGUGUUUUCACAGCAAACGAACACAGAGUGAAUUACCAGCGAGGACUUUAUUUCGUGGUGGAAGCUUCUCAGAUCAGUGUGAGUACACGGUGCUUUUGAAAGUGACUGCGAGACUGCGCUAGGGUAGGCGUGACCCCCGUUCAGACCUUCCUCUGCAUGGCUCUCUCCUUUCACCCAUUAUGGACAACAGCUCUUUUCUCUCUGCUUCUCUCCCAUCUGCGCGUAACUCCUUGCUGGGCUCUUUCACGCAUCGCACACCCUCGAAAG
rnacentral:misc_RNA from 1 species